CUGGCUGUCAAAGAGGCCGGCGGCUGGACCAGCCUUCGCUUGUGAGAACGUCCACCAACUCCGUCAGCCAAGAGAAACAAAAACCUCAGAGGGUGCCAAGUGCAACUCGGAGAGUUCCCAGAGGCUGACCUCACUGAGUGCCCCGGGUGGCUGCCGCAGGUGGGGAGCCGGCCAGGUGAUCUGGAGCAGAGGGCAGAGCCAUCCUGCUCAGGCGACCGCUCCCCUCUGAGUGGCUUUAGCCUGAGGGAAGCACUAGCCCCACCCCCAGGAGGGACUCCGCCCAUCGCGUGUGGCUGGAGCCUGACUGCGGAGGGCGGAGCGACUAGAUGGACAACUGGAGGGUCCGCCCCAGACGGCAGGUCCCUGGACAUCUAGGACCGGCUGCCUAAGGACAUAGGGGCUCACCAUCUGACGUCACCAUCCGCGGUUCCAGAAAGAAGAAACAGUGGUAAAUACUAGAUGCUACCGAGGCGAAAUCCACCAUGGUCUUCUCCACAAUCUAUGAUGUUUUCUUUCCCGCACAGUUUAACAUUCAUUUGCUAUCCUUCAAGUUUGUGCAUAUUCAGUCCCUGGAUUUUAUAUUGUAAUUUAUUUCAAUUCUCAUAUUUUGCUCCUCCCUUCACUUACGCCAUUUUACCUCCUCCUUUCCUCCCAUUAUUUUUGUUUUAAAUUUGUUUUCUCACUUGUUACGAUUUGUUUACAUUCUUCACUCUUAAAAGUUUCCCCUGUUCAGCCUAUAAAAACCAUUUUGUUUUUGUCAA